AGCACACGUUUGCGACGUCAUAUUGUGUUUUUUCUAUACGCUUGCUUUUCGCAACAAUUUUUCAUGGGGCCCCAUGCGCGGUUUGCGUCGUCGCAAGGCACAUAUACUUAUACUUAUAUAUAACUUUACUCUAAAAAAUAUAUUCGUGCGGUUAGUUAGAAGUGAAGCAUGAAGAUCAAAGAUUUGGUAAAGUAUAAUUCACAAUAGGCAUUGUUACGUACACCAGUUCUUUUUUAGAUGGCAUCAGAGAUGUGACGUCACGAAGUGGUGAUGACGCAACAGAAGAACUCACUUCAAUAUGGUAUGUGACGUCACAGAGAAUCAAGAGGUCAGAGCGCGAAUCAGGAAUGAAGAAAAGCCAGCGUCUUUGCUGCCGAAGAAAAGCGGAAGGUAUAG